UCAGAUAUCCGAAGCUAUAUGUAAUUCUGUAUAAUUUUAUAUAGCACUUAUUAAAUUUUUAAAAAAAUAUACCACUAUAUAAUUAUGUUAUUAACUUGAUUUAUCACUAUUUAAUAAUACUUAUAAUUCGAUAGUCAUAAAGUUUAAUUAUCUAAGUAAUAUCUACAAUUAUAUUCAUACUUCUAAUAUCCAAAUUAUAUCCGUAUCAAUUUAAAACAAAUAUGAAUAUUAAUUUUUAUAUUUAAAUAAUAUCCGUAUUCGUAUUUAUAUUCAUCAAAUAAAAGAAAUAUAAAUAUGGAUAUGAUGGUACUUGAUCCAUAUCUGAUCCAAUUUCAGCCCUACAUAUAAAGCAUCUGGCAUCAUCUUGUACGUAGUGAUAGAAUUUCCAAAAGGUAAAGAAAUUAGAGAAAAGAAUGAAAGUUUCUCCAAUAUUCAUGUUCUAUUUCGACUUUCAUCUAAUUCCAUUACCACCACCCUUGCUCCAAAAUUUUGUAGCACCACCUCUUCAUGAAUGAAUUUCUCACACCAACUUCCUCUCCCUCUUCAACCUCUUCAGAUUUGAGAACAAGUGAAGGAAUAGACUAGAA
rnacentral:lncRNA from 1 species